CUAACCGCCAGUGAAAUCAAUAUCCACCGUUAGAUCCUGCUGAAAUGAAAUCUGAGCUGUUUAAACUCACAUUAAUAACUGCUUCCAUGGCGGUUCACGGUAGUUCUUGGCAGUUUUCUACAGGUGGUUUUGCUCCAAAUUUUUCUGCCCAUAACCACCACGUGUGGUGGUUAUCUCCUCAAUUGAACAUUCUCUCCCAUUCUCCUUAUUUCCAGCGGCAGUUGAGGUGAAUAACAGUCCCUCCCCCAUUAUCGCCGUCUCCUAUCCCCUAUUUGUAACCCGUAUCACACUUCAAAUCUCAUUCACUCCUACUCUAACUAGCCUCCGAUGCCUAUGAGUUCUUCGCCCGCUAUUAAGUCAGUGCCCUCCUUCUAUUUGCGAGUCUCAUCCUAUUCUGGAUCCAAUUGUUGAUUGUUAAUCAUUUUUCUGGUAACCCUAAUGGUUCUUUGCCGACAAAUUCGAAGACUUCAGAUAAACCCUUGCUUCGUUCCAACAUUCAACCAUAGAUCGAUCGGUAUGAAGUCUCCAAUCAAAAAACUAAGUGGGCUAGGUCUAACCAGGCAUCAUGCUCAUCCUUCUCCUGCCCAGCUGGAUGAACUCUCAGGCUUCCCAGGAUAUAUGCAAUACAUGAAAGAUUGUUGUGACAGUUUACUCUCGCCUACAGUUGCCACUGCCAACAGUGCAUAUGGAUUCUCAUAAUCAUUACAGGAAAUGGGAGAUUGCCUUCUCGAGAAAACCUCACAACGAUGAUGAAGACGGUGAUAGAGUCUUGCUGAUGCUCACAAUGGUGCAAUUUGAAAUACAGAAGCUGCUUGAUACCUAUGUGAAGAAGAAGCGAAUAUAUGAUAUAACAACUGUUCUUGAAGGUUGAAGGCGUUGGUCUUAUUGAGAAGGAGUCCCUGAACAGAAUCCGCUAGAAUUAAUGUUUUAGUUUGCAAGUUGUAGAUGAUUAGCUUACCCUGGUUAACUAUACCGUUUUAUAUGAACUUUGAUUAAUUGUUUAGGGACCAAGAUAUUUCCGAACCCGUGUGUAAUAGGUAACUCCGCCUACAUAUUGUGCUUUGAAACAAGCAACGAUUCAAGGUUACCAUUUUCAGUAA